AUUAGUUUUUUAAUUGAAGGCUAGAAUGAAUGGUUGGACAAGAAAUAAUCUGUCUUAAUUAAAAAUAUUGAAUUUAACUUUUAAGUGAAAAGGCUUAAAUAAUUUGAAGGGACGAUAAGACCCUAUAAAACUUUAUAUUUAAUAUUAGUAAUUAAUUUUGUUUUAAUUUAUUAUUAAAAAAUAUUUGGUUGGGGUGACAAGGAUAAAAUGAAUAAUAACUGUCUUUUUUAUUUAACAAUGAUAUUUGGGUUAAUGAUCCUUAAAAGGAUUAAAGAUUAAGUUACUUUAGGGAUAACAGCGUAAUUUUCUUUAAGAGUUCUUAUCGACAAGAAAGUUUGCGACCUCGAUGUUGAAUUAAAAGUUCAUUAUAGAGCAGAGACUAUAAUAGAAGGUCUGUUCGACCUUUAAAGUUUUACAUGAUUUGAGUUCAGACCGGUGUGAG
rnacentral:rRNA from 1 species